UGAAGUCUUUGUGGCAGGGUGGAAGUCCCUACCGAUGGUUACAGUCCAUGACCUGACGGCGUAAAGCGCGUAAAACGCGUAUAAGGCCUGAUGCUGAUCUGGUGAAAUUCCAGAACCGACGGUUACAGUCCGGAUGAGAAAAGACGUUU
rfam:Clostridium saccharolyticum-like K10 draft genome.